ACAGGGAUUGCCCCAGUAACGGCGAGUGAAGCGGCAACAGCUCAAAUUUGAAAUCUGGUCCCCCCUCCGCGGGGGGCCCGAGUUGUAAUUUGAAGAGGAUGCUUCUGGCGAGGUGCCGUCCGAGUUCCCUGGAACGGGACGCCAUAGAGGGUGAGAGCCCCGUACGGUCGGACGCCGAGCCUCUGUGAAGCUCCUUCGACGAGUCGAGUAGUUUGGGAAUGCUGCUCAAAAUGGGAGGUAAACCCCUUCUAAAGCUAAAUACCGGCCAGAGACCGAUAGCGCACAAGUAGAGUGAUCGAAAGAUGAAAAGCACUUUGAAAAGAGAGUUAAAAAGCACGUGAAAUUGUUGAAAGGGAAGCGCUUGCGACCAGACUCGCGCCCGUCGGAUCAGCCGUCGCUUGCGGCGGCGCACUCCGGCGGGCUCGGGCCAGCAUCGGUUCGCCUCCCCGGGGGGAGAAAGGCGGCGGGAAUGUGGCUCUACGGAGUGUUAUAGCCCGCCGCGCAAUACCCCCGGGCGGACCGAGGACCGCGCGUAUGCAAGGAUGCUGGCGUAAUGGUCGUCAGCGACCCGUCUUGAAACACGGACCAAGGAGUCGUCCUAAUAUGCGAGUGUUCGGGUGUCAAACCCCUGCGCGUAAUGAAAGUGAACGGAGGUGAGAGCUUCGGCGCAUCAUCGACCGAUCCUGAUGUUCUCGGAUGGAUUUGAGUAAGAGCAUAUUGGGCCGGACCCGAAAGAAGGUGAACUAUGCCUGUAUAGGGUAAAGCCAGAGGAAACUCUGGUGGAGGCUCGCAGCGGUUCUGACGUGCAAAUCGAUCGUCAAAUAUGGGCAUGGGGGCGAAAGACUAAUCGAACCUUCUAGUAGCUG
rnacentral:rRNA from 1 species